rnacentral:misc_RNA from 1 species
UGGAAUCGGCUAAUUUGCAAUACCGACCAAGUAGAUCUUCACAUCGGAGUCCUAAUCGGAAUAGUUCUAAAUCGAAAUCGAGAAUCUUUUGUUACACUUCGAUAAUGUUUGUUAUUGCUUUUUUAUGUUAUGUUUUUGUGUUUUCGAGUCAUGUUAGGUUUUCUGUGAAGAGGAAAUAUGGGAUUGUGAUUGAUGGAGGAAGUACGGGGACGAGGAUUCAUGUGUUUGAGUAUGAGGUUAGGAAUGGGGUGCCGGUGUAUGAUUUUGGGGAUAAGGGUUUGGUUUCGAUGAGGGUGAAUCCGGGGUUAUCGGCUUAUGCUGAACAACCGGAGAUGGCGAGUGAAUCAGUGGGGAAGUUGGUGGAGUUUGGGAAGCAAAAUGUACCUCAGGAAUAUUGGAGUUCAACAGAGAUUAGGUUGAUGGCUACUGCUGGAAUGAGGUUAUUGGAUUCGGGUGUACAGGAGAAGAUUUUAGAAGUGUGUCGAGGGGUACUGAGGGAUUCGGGUUUAAAGUUUAUGGAUGAUUGGGCUUCUGUUAUUUCAGGAUCUGAUGAGGGUUUAUAUGCCUGGGUUAUUGCUAAUUAUGCCCUUGGUACUCUUGGUAGUGAUCCUUUGCAAACAACUGGGAUAAUUGAACUUGGUGGUGCAUCUGCGCAGGUAACUUUUGUUUCUGACGAGCCUAUGCCCCCAGAAUAUUCUCGUGCCAUUAAAUUCAGGAACUUUACCUACAGGAUCUACAGUCAUAGCUUGCUUCAAUUUGGUCAGAAUGUUGCAUUUGACUUACUCCAGGAGUCCCUUGUUGCGAGAGGCCACCAUCAAGCUCCUGAAAGUGUUAAGCUGAUGGAUCCUUGUUCUCCUAGAGGAUACCCACAGAACUUAAUGUCAUUGAAGCUCUCCCCCAGUAGUUUCUUAGAUAGGACUAGGCACCUAUCGUCUCUUUAUCCCAGCGGUAACUUCUCAGAAUGCAGGUCUGCCUCACUAUCAUUGUUGCAGAAAGGCAAAGAGAGUUGCCCUUAUAAAAGCUGCUACAUUGGGUCUACAUUUAUGCCAAAGCUCCAGGGGAAUUUUUUGGCUACAGAAAAUUUUUUCUACACUUCCAGGUUUUUUGGUUUGCCCCCAAAAGCUUUUCUUUCUGAUCUUAUGGCGGCUGGGAAAAGUUUUUGUGAAGAGGACUGGUCAAGUUUGAAAAGCAAAUACCCCUCCCUUCAAGAGGAGGACUUGCAUCGUUAUUGCUUCUCUUCAGCGUAUAUAUUGGCAUUACUUCAUGAUAGUCUUGGAAUUGCUUUGGAUGAUGAUAGGAUUGGAUAUGCUAAUCAAGUUGAAAACAUUCCACUUGAUUGGGCAUUGGGAGCAUUCAUCUUGCAGAGCACAGCUGAGUUGGACAAAGAGCAUUCUGGGUGGUUUGCAAAUAUGUUCAGUGAGGACUCUCUCAUUUUGCUUCUCUUCUUUGCCUUUUUCAUUUUGGUGAUGUUCACCGCAUGGUAUGUGUCAAAGUGGAGAAAGCCACAAUUGAAGACUGUGUAUGAUCUAGAGAAAGGAAAGUACAUAGUCACACGUGUUGGUAGAUGUUCAUAGAUUGUUUUAUAGGAGUAGAAGCCAUUUUCCUGCAUCUGUGGAUAAGGCGGAAGGACCAAAGUAGAUCAUCAACUACCUCAUCCAAGAAUCUCUGCACACUUUGUUGCUUGGUACCCCGAGCUAAAGAUGCUAUACUUAGGCGAGGUCAGAUCAAUCUUAUGGGACUGUAGCUACCCAAUUCAAGAAGGUGUCUCGGUCUCUAUUUUUUGUUAUGAAGCAGAAAAUCUUCCUGUAAGAAUGUUAUAGUCGGUAUGAGGAAGCAGAUAUACUAGAAACUUAGAAGAGCUCGUCUUGUUUGGUUGCUCACCAAGUAUACCAUUUACACUAUAGUCAUUACUCAUUAACAUAUUUCCUUCACAAAGUAGUUGCCUGUAUCCAUCCCCUGGAGGGGGGUUGGUGUAGAACUGAAG